GAUCAUGGCUCAGGAUGAACGCUAGCGACAGGCUUAACACAUGCAAGUCGAGGGGCAGCGGGGAGUAGCAAUACUUCGCCGGCGACCGGCGCACGGGUGAGUAACACGUGUGCAACCAACCCCGUACCGGGAGAUAACCCGCGGAAACGUGGACUAACACCCCAUAACACUGGAGGAUCGCAUGAUCUUUCAUUUAAAAUUCCGGUGGUACGGGACGGGCACGCGCGACAUUAGGUAGUUGGCGGGGUAACGGCCCACCAAGCCG
rnacentral:rRNA from 1 species